rnacentral:rRNA from 1 species
AGAGUUUGAUCCUGGCUCAGAAUCAACGCUGGCGGCGCGCUUAACACAUGCAAGUCGAGCGAGAAAGGGGAGCAAUCCCUGAGUAAAGCGGCGUACGGGUGAGUAACACGUGGAUAAUCUACCUUUUAGUGGGGAAUAGCUCCGGGAAACUGGAAUUAAUACCGCAUAAGCCCGUAAGGGGAAAGCAGCAAUGCGCUGAAAGAGGAGUCCGCGGCCGAUUAGCUAGUUGGUGGGGUAAUGGCCCACCAAGGCGAUGAUCGGUAGCCGGCCUGAGAGGGCACACGGCCACACUGGCACUGAAACACGGGCCAGACUCCUACGGGAGGCAGCAGUGGGGAAUCUUGCACAAUGGAGGAAACUCUGAUGCAGCGACGCCGCGUGAGCGAUGAA